CCAUACAUGUACCACUGCUACAUGGUGCAGUAAAUUCAACACACAACCUACCCCUUAAACCCUAUGAGUUACAACAUAGGCACCUGCACUAUCAACUUCUCAUGACUACUAACGAACAUGUCACACAAGCAUACAAGUUCAAUGGAAUACUUAUAAUAGGAUUCUAAGCUCACAUUGUCAUAAUAGUUACCAUACAUGUCAUUCAUAUUAUCAAGAAGAUAAAUACACAUCUAUAUCACAAUAAGGCAUCCCAUACAUGUAGACUAAGAUAUAUAUAUUACUUGGGAUAAUUCACUAACUGAUAUUGCCUGACUAAGCCCUACUUGGUCUUUAGUAAUACUAAUUUUAGUAUUCAAGAACGAUUAAGAACAUUUUGAUCAAAAUCAAACCUAGUAGAUCAAUUAGGAAGAUCCGCCCACUAGAUUUUCAAUCCGUAAAUUCCUAAGGUCCUCAAAUAUUACAUAUAAUAACAUAUUAAAGUUUGGUAACGAUCUAACGGUCGGAUCAUCGAUUGUUAUAAUAUUCAAGUGGUGGUCUCUAACGAAAAUAUGUUCAAACGACGGGAUUUCAUCAAUCGGAUGACACAUAUUAACUCGAGGUAUUGAAUUUAGCAUAGAAAGAUAGAGUUGGCCCACUGGUUACUCACCGCCACAUGCGGCGGUUUCUGGCAAACGAAAACCCAAUUUUUUGACAAACUCCAAAAAAUUACCAAAUUUUAUAGAAAUGUAGAGCAAGUCAAGGGGAAUAAUUUUCAUACCUGGGUCAAAGUUCAAUUUGGCUA
rnacentral:lncRNA from 1 species